rnacentral:rRNA from 1 species
AUGUCUCCAUUCCAGGCCCUGUAUGGAUUUCCCCCACCUUUAAUCUCAGAGUUGGCAAUCCCUGGCCCUGAGGAUGAGGAAGCACAAGAUUUCCUUUCUUCCAAACAACAGAUGCUGGAACACUUGAAGGACAAUUUGUGCAAAGCUCAAAACAGGAUGAAGAGAUAUGCAGAUCUCAAGAGAGUGGAAAGAAUUUUCUCAGUGGGAGAUAUGGUUUAUCUGAAAAUGGCCUCAUACAGAUUAGCUGCUUUUGGAUUCAUAGGUGCUCUCAAGCUUCAGAAUAAAUACUACGGUCCUUUCCUCAUAAUUCAGAAGGUGGGCAAUUCGGCAUACAAGCUUCAAUUCCCUCAAGGAGUUCAGAUACACCCAGUAUUCCACGUGAGCCAACUCAAGAAACACAUUGGCAGCAAAGCAAUUCCCAGCCCACUGUUGCCUAUGGUUAACAGUGAUGGCACAAUCAAAACGGGCCCGGAAGCACUCAGGUCAGGCAGAUACCGCGGAACAAUUUACCCGUGGUGCAGUGGUUGA